CGGGGUGUGGCUCAGCCUGGUAGAGCACUGCGUUCGGGACGCAGGGGUCGGAGGUUCGAAUCCUCUCACCCCGACCA
rnacentral:tRNA from 1 species